UACGUAGGGUGCAAGCGUUGUCCGGAAUUAUUGGGCGUAAAGAGCGUGUAGGCGGCCAGGUAGGUCUGCUGUGAAAGUCCAGGGCUCAACCCUGGGAUGCCGGUGGAUACUGUCGGGCUCGAGUCCGGAAGAGGAGUGUGGAAUUCCUGGUGUAGCGGUGAAAUGCGCAGAUAUCAGGAGGAACACCGAUGGCGAAGGCAGCUCGCUGGGACGGUACUGACGCUGAGGCGCGAAAGCGUGGGGAGCGAACAGG
rnacentral:rRNA from 1 species